rnacentral:lncRNA from 1 species
AAUUUGGAGAUCGGAAGGUGAAAUCGACACUGAGAUUGAUGUGAAUUUGAGCUUUAGUGCUGAAUUUUGGAUUAUUGAUGGAUUUUGUUGUUUAAAUCCUUAGAGAGGCUUGUUGCUGGUUGUGGCUAAGCUUGGCAGGGAUUCCGGCGACUCCUCGCUGCCGUGGAUUAGAGCUAGAGGUGGGUUAAAGUGAUGCUUACCGAAUUUUUGCGGAUUUUCUCUUAAGUUCUAUUGCUAGCAUGUAUUAGUAGAUUUUUGUAUAUCAUGUUUCAUUGCUCGAUUCGUUGAUUUAUUGUGUUCCUAAAUCUGAAUUGGAGCUUCGAAUAUUAGUUAAAUAAUACAUGUUGGACUUGGAUUUGACUUAAGAGAAAACUGGCGCUUCUACACUGCCAUAUGUUAAAACUACCAGAUUUAGCUCUAGGAGUCGUAGUUUGUUUGUAUCACCGCAGUUUGUGGGCGGUGGAUAUUCAGGAUAGUGUAGAGUGUAUUUACGCUCGUGCUGGGAUGCUGAACUUAUUUUUACAGCAGUGUUUAGGCUGUUCCGGACUGUCGGAUGCCGUUGAGGUUGACGAUGG